GACGAACGCUGGCGGCGUGCCUAAUACAUGCAAGUCGAGCGGACUAUCGGGAGCUUGCUCCUGAUAGUUAGCGGCGGACGGGUGAGUAACACGUGGGCAACCUGCCCUGCAGAUGGGGAUAACUCCGGGAAACCGGGCUAAUACCGAAUAAUCAAUACUUCCGCAUGGAAGUAUUCUAAAAGCGGUUUCGGCUGUCACUGCAGGAUGGGCCCGCGGCGCAUUAGCUUGUGGUGGGUAAUGGCCUACCAAGGCGACGAUGCGUAGCCGACCUGAGAGGGUGAUCGGCCACACUGGGACUGAGACACGGCCCAGACUCCUACGGGAGGCAG
rnacentral:rRNA from 1 species